rnacentral:rRNA from 1 species
AGGCGAUGAAGGACGUGUUAGCCUGCGAUAAGCUUCGGGAGCUGGCAAAUAAGCUUUGAUCCGAAGAUUUCCGAAUGGGAAACCACCGCAAGGGUAUCGUGCACUGAAUACAUAGGUGUACGAGGCGAAACCGGGAGAAACUGAAACAUCUCAGUACCUCGAGGAAAAGACAUCAACCGAGAUUCCGAAAGUAGUGGCGAGCGAAAUUGGAAGAGCCUGCGCAAGAUAGCCAUCGAUUCAUCAGAACGGCAUGGAAAGGCCGACCACAGAGGGUGAUAGUCCCGUAUGGAAAAAGUUGAUGGUGGUACUAGGUGCGGAACAAGUAGGGCGGGGCACGUGAAACCUUGUCUGAACAUGGGGGGACCAUCCUCCAAGGCUAAAUACUCGUAAUCGACCGAUAGCGAACAAGUACCGUGAGGGAAAGGCG